GCCUUGAAGUUGAGCAAGAAGAACAACCCUUCUUCUUCUUCUUCUUCUUCCCCAUUUCACACUCUGACCAAAAAAACAAAAAGCUACUCCACUGUAAAUGGAUCCUCUCUCAGCUCUCCGAGAUUUCACCAUUCGAGGCGAGCUAGACAAAAUCGUCCGAGUCAACGACGAGUUCCGUUUCGCCUCCGAUUAUUCCUUCCCUUGCUCCGUCGAAACCGCUUACCGCUCCAAACAAGGCAAUCUUUACACACUCGAAACCCUCGUCUAUUACAUCAAAAAUCACCAUGUCAAGCACACUGAGUACCUUCAAAACGCUCGCACUCAGGGAAUUACUUCCGUCACUUUCCCUGACCGGAAGCCUCUGCUUGAUUAUCUUACCGGCAAGGUUUCCUCCUCCGAUGCCAUCGAGUUUCUUGUACCUCAGAAUCCCAAGUUUCCCGAUUUGCCCUCUGUGGAUGAGUAUCGUCCUGAAGACCCGGUGAUUGUUGGAGCAGCUAUGGAUGCGGUUGACGAGGACGAUGGUUUUAAGGAUUCUACUAAUGUUGAUUAUAUGACUAUGAUUAGAGCUAUUGAGAGACCGUUGAAGGACAGGGAAUCGUUGUUGGAAUGUAAGAAUAGGAAUUUCUAUAACGUGCUUGUGACGUCGACGAAGCGUGAGGAGGAGAGGCAGCGUCUUGAAUCUCAACAGAGGAAGGAUGGCUUGGUUGCUAAGAGUAGGCUGAUGGGUUCUGAUGACAGGGGUCUGGUGGGAUAUGGUGAUGAUUUGGGUUAUGAUGCGAAUCCGAAACCGAAAAUGCAUUUGAAGGGAGGAAAGAUUGGAGAAGGCGUGCCUAUAAUUCUGGUUCCGAGUGCUUUUCAGACUCUGAUCACAAUAUAUAAUGUGAAAGAGUUUUUGGAAGAUGGUGUGUUUAUACCCACGGAUGUUAAGGUCAAGCAGAUGAAAGGGGCGAGGCCUGAUUGUGUGACCGUGCAGAAGAAGUUCAGCAGGGAUAGAGAUAGAGUGGUGACCGCGUAUGAGGUUAGGGACAAGCCUUCAGCUCUCAAAUCAGAGGACUGGGACCGUGUUGUAGCUGUUUUCGUACUGGGAAAGGAAUGGCAGUUCAAAGAUUGGCCUUUCAAGGACCAUGUGGAGAUUUUCAAUAAAAUUAUUGGAUUUUAUAUGCGUUUUGAAGACGACAGUUUGGAAUCAGCUAAGAAUGUGAAGCAGUGGAAUGUUAAAAUUAUUUCGAUUAGCAAGAACAAGCGGCACCAAGACAGAGCUGCAGCAUUGGAGGUGUGGGAUAGGUUAGAAGAAUUUGUAAGGUCACGGUCUCAUUCUUGAUGUGAAUUCCAUGGCACAUUUCUUGCUGGUGGUGACUGUUGCUUCCUUCAGGGCCACGAGAUAGGCUUCACUGAGACUUUCUACUCCUUCCAACUUUAAUCCUUUUUUUCUCUUUGGUGACACAAGCAAUGACUGCAGGAAGGUAUGCAUUUUAGGCCGAGUAUUUCCAUCUUAAUCCAUCCUUGCUUCUGCUUCAGCCAUCAAUUUUAAGCAAUUUGUUUCUUCUUUCUUUGGUUUCAACCUUAAAUAUUAUUCCAACAAGUUUUUUCGCUUUCAUUCUUUUGAUUUGAGGCUGACAGUUUUUUUUUCUAAUUGGCAAUGUUGAUGGGGGGAAAAUUUUAACCAUACUGCCACGGGAUGAUGAGUUUGCUCCAAAAAAGAGGCUACUGAUAAGAAGAUCAGUACAACUUGAAAGCUGAAGCAUAUAUAGAAGCCAACAAGAUGGAGAAUAGUAGAGGUUUUGACAAAUGGAUGGAGCUUCCGUCUGAUGAGCCAUUGUCUGUUGAUGGAACAGUCUUAGAUCCAGUUCCUGCACAAGCAGUUAGGUACUUUAAUUGACCGUGUGAACGAACUGACCAAGCAUACAAUUAAAAGUAUCUUUUUUUAUGUUCAUACCUGAAGGAACAUUGUUUGAAGAGUCUGGUGCUCCUGCUGGAGAGCCGGCGGGAGAAUCAACUGGCAAUUUUUCAGCUGCUGACAGAUGGAGUCUGAACGUUGCAAGCUUGGGGCAGAGCUAGGGCCUGCGUUUGGUUGAUAUUCACCCCAAGCGACGCUCCACCACCAUUCAGGACCUGGCACAAGCACUGUGGCUGUGAACGGACAACACUUGAAAGCUGUGUGCAGCAUGAUUGUGAUGGGGUAGAGGAGUUCCCUGUAAUAUAAUUCAGGCAAGGUGCCAUACUGAUCAGCACAUUUGUACAGUCGGACUGUGCAGCUGCUCCUGCCCAGUGCACAGCAACGAUAACCGCAACUAGACCCGCCACCAUCCUUGUGUAUUCCAUUCUGCUAUAGAGGACUAAUACAAAAACUUCUGGGAAUGGUAAAGAGGAGAGUUAGUUUAUUUGAUGAGAACUCAGAAGGUAAGAGAGUUUGAUUUGUGAAGUUUUGGAGGAGAAUUGUGUGGUUUUUGUAGGGAAAUGGAAGGAAGAAAGGGACAAAUUGGAAAGAAGUUUGAUUUGGUGAACCACUCUUCCUACUUUCUUAACAGUUUUCUUUGUUGGAACUAUUGGAGGGUUAAGCUGUUCAAAGAUUGAGGGCUUUGAAACCUAAUAGUGCUUGAACUUGGGAAUUGUAUAUGGUGGUCGGCUAUCAUGGUCACCAACUCCUUCACUAGAAAUAAACUCAGAAACUUAAGAGUCAAGGUUGUAGACUUGGGUGGCUGAUGUUUAAUGGCGUGAAGGAAGCGUAAGACUUUGAUUUUCUCUCUUCGGGAAACUUUAGCUUUGUGUUUAGACUAAUGAUUGGCAUUACUUUCAGAUCAUGAUGUCAAUAACAAAGUAAAAGGAACAGACUCCCUGUUCACUGAUCAAAAUUGGUUCGGGCUCAAGUUGGAUAAAAAUAUUAUUGAACUUUUUCUUGUA